CCGCAGUACAAGGGACUUAGUCCCACCCCACCAAAAAAAAAAGAAAAAAAUAAAGCAAGAAAGGUUUUUGUGCAGUAAAUUGGGCAAGCUCUUGGUAUAUAUGACAAAUGCCACUCAGGACAAAAUAGAUUUAGCUUGGGGAAGAAUUUAUCAUGAGACGAAGGAGUCUGGAUCCAGGUUAAGUUCUUUCGAAAGCAUAUAAGUGCCUCAGUUUAAAUUGUCCUGUUGCAUUAAUAUAUAAUUCAUUUUAUAUAUAUUUCUGUCUUAAAUGCAUAUUAUUAUGUAACCCUUCUUCCACAUUACAUGGUUCAACUGUAUACGACCAUCAUCAUAUGUCUUCUAUCUUGCUAAAAUUCUUGCAUUGUAUUUCAAAAUUUCGUAUCGCACGUGAACACAAUAUUUCCUGAUUAAAAUACAUUGACCUUAAUUAAAACAAAUUAAAUAAAAUCCCAAUAUUUUCCUUAUUGUCGUCAUCCUAUCUUUUCACGCCGUCCCAACCGGUCUCAACUACAACUGUAUUAUCACAACAUCAGCAUUAUUAUCUUCUAUUGCAGAAGAUAACAAUACACUGAUAUAGGCCAUGUCCAUCUAUAAUAUUAUCAAGACACAUUAAAGAAGGUAUGUCCAGUGUGGACCUUGCUCAAAGCAGCAGAAAUAACUGAAAUGUUCGCUACUUGAGAAACUGGAAACUGCACUUGCUGCAUAGUUCAAGCAAGCACGAGAGAGUAAUACUUCCACAGAUGGCACCCACCUCUAGGAAAAAGCCUUGCAAAUUGCCGCUCAUCUGGGAAUAGCCAACUUCAUGGUCUUCACUGGAUGGAUCAACAAAUUUAAGAGGAGACGCAUUGUUUACAGAACUCUAUCAGAGGACUUCUGUACAGGAGUCUGUGAAGAAAAGAGACAGUUGGAAGGAAGCCACCAUUCAGAGAAGGCUUGAGUGCAGAAGCUGAAAAAUCUCCACCAUUAGAAGCUGUUAUGAGGGAAUGGCUGGUGAAGACACUAGCACAUGCUGUGGUGA